GGCAAAGUCAUGCUUGUUCAAGGUAGUUUUUACUGACAGUGGCUGGUUAUAUUAUUUUAGCAUGAGGUUCUGCUCCACAACUUCAAGCCAACGUACUUCCUAGACAAAGGAGAAACAAUUAAGGCAUGGGCUAUGCUUAUUCCUGAACCUUGGGAAGAUAAUCGACUUAUUGGCAGCCUUUCAAAUACUGAACACUUGACUUUC